AAACUACACGGUGUCACUGUCACCUCUGGGGAUCUUGUACGUUUUCUCAUCAGGUUUUCUGAGGUUGCGAAGAAUGCGGUCACUGUGGAUAUUGAUGGCCAUUCCAAGGCGGCACAGUGCAACAAGUAGUGUCCUUGCAUGAAGCCAUUACCCGUACAGAAGGCUGCUCCCGACACCAUGACAUCAACAGGAAAUGGCUGUCCACAGGUCCAGAUCCCCAUCAAUGAAGGCAAUUCUUCUCCUUUCCAUAAUACAUUGUCGCAUCUCUGCUGAAGCUUCUGGUUUAUUAUUAGAGUAAAUUCUAAAGACUAGACAAAUUCUAAAUUCUAAAGACUAGACCAAUUCUAAAUUCUAGACAAAUUCUGAAGGUAUAAAUGUGGAGGUGAUGUGACUUAUGGGGCUCAAAUUUAAAUGCUGUACAAAGUCUUAAGUCUGACUAAAGAUAACUUAAUACCUAUGCAAAAUUUGAUUACAUGAGCAACAAAGCACAACAAGCACAAACAUUGGUGGAUCAGCUAAAAGCUCUCACAUGCCAUGUGAUCCUAACCUGGCUUUAGUUCAUGCUCGAGAACUUUUCUCAUACAGUACAGUAGACUGACUUUUCACUUUACCCCACAUUUAAAUUAGAGCCAAUGGACUUGAAGUGCAGACGAAAGCUGUGCCAGCUCCGCCUUGGGAAAGGUUUGUACACAGCUGAUAUUUGAUAUUUAUUACAUCAGAAGCAUUGCCAGUCAUAACGUUACACUAGCUGGGGGAAGUAGACAUACCUGGUGGAAAAUGCUUCUGCACUGUUCCUUUCCAUGCAGAUUAUACAAGUACAAAAGCUACACAAAAUGCAGUAACAAUGCAAAAAAUGUAUAGUAGUGCUAUGUUUCAUUGUGUACUCUGCCAACAUUAUCUGGUCAAUUAUAGAAUCAGCAUAAUUGGUGUGUUUAUCACCAGACGUAUGGGUGUAACAAGAGAAUAGAGAACUGCAUAUAUACACAAUUUAUUAGAUUUAUGAAUAUCAGCUCGUAUUAGACAA